rnacentral:rRNA from 1 species
CGGCGGGUGAGUAAUGUCUGGGAAACUGCCCAUGGAGGGGGAUAACUACUGGAAACGGUAGCUAAUACCGCAUAACGUCGCAAGACCAAAGAGGGGACCUUCGGGCCUCUUGCCAUCGGAUGUGCCCAGAUGGGAUUAGCUAGUAGGUGGGGUAACGGCUCACCUAGGCGACGAUCCCUAGCUGGUCUGAGAGGAUGACCAGCCACACUGGAACUGAGACACGGUCCAG